GACGGGGCUCAUCUUCAACCUCGCCCUGAGGCUGUUUCCCACGCCUCUUCUCAUUUCACACAGGAGACGGUGCAGCCUCUGUCCCGGGGCAAGGCAGCAUCUGACUCACGCCUGUUUCAGUUCUCCGAGGCAGGUCUUUCUCUUGCCCUCGGACAUGCAGGCAAGGCAGGUUCGGAGCGUGACUCUCGGCCACCCUGCCUCCUCACGAAGGCCAGACUGAACGCAGGCUUCCUGAACCCUGAAGUGCCUGCCGUACACGCAGCCUUUUUGAGGAAAGACCCUCUGCUGUGCAGACCCCUGGGCUGGCCACCCCUGUCCCCACUCCAGAGAAAAUCUGAGGAGUGGACUGGUGGGGGAUGAUGCUUCCUGUUUCAGGGGAUUAUCUCCCCUUGAGCCCGAGGGAGGUCUAGCCAGUGUUCUGUUUUAGGGGGUCCUCCGGAGCAGAGGGGCCAUGCCUCUCCCCGAUCCCCAGGAUUUUCAGCAUUCACACAGGUCGGCAUCAGAGUGUUUGCCUUUUCACACUGAGGUUAGCAAUUUUUAAAAGCAGAGAUUGAAAGUCUGCAUUCUGGUUGUCUGCACUGCCAGGACAGGACCAGAGCAGGACAGUCACAGGUCUCUCCUUGGUGACAGAAGGUAUGUAGAUACGCUGACUUGCUUCGGUGGAGUCUCAGCGGAGGGUUUGAAGCUUGGCUCUGCCACUUAUUGGCUCUGGGACCUUGAGCAGGUUACCGUAAAUAUCUGAGCCUCAGUUUCCGUAUCUACAAACGAGGGAUUCAAAAUACCUCACAGAAUUGAAAGAGCCUCCAUUACCUGAGACCGAGGCUAGAGGCUGCUCCAAGUAAUGAAUAUUGAUAGUAAAGGUCAGAAGACAAAUCUCGAGCAGUAUGAUAGGGAAAGGUUCUGUGCAAGGCAGUGAGGCUAAAACCUAAGGGUUUAUCAGCGCUGCUGCCUGUGUGUGAGAGAAAGAGCAGCCCUCCCCAUCCCAGAUUAUUACAGGGAAGAGGGCCAAGUGUUGUGGGAUCUGACUUUAACUCUGCCACUUACCUGCUGGGUGACCUUGGGUGGGUUCCUUGCCCUCUCUGGGCCCCAGAGCCAAGCCUCUCCAUGGAAGGUACCCACAUCCACUGUGUUUUGAGGUGUUUCUUUCCAGGCCAUCCCUACUGACCCUUCUCUCCUUGUGUAGGAGGGCCAUUGUGUCUGGGGGGAGGGAGGGAGCAGCCCUCCCUUCUCUCUCCCCAGCUCCUGUGCACUCCGGCCUGCUGCAUUUCUGAGCCAACCCAGCACCAGACACCCCUUAGCCCGCCGCCCUGGCUGUGGGUGCCCCUGACUUGAGUCGUUCCUGGGAUCACAAUGACAUCAGAGCCCCGGACCCCACGUGGACCAGCUCACAGGCCUGAGGCAGCCUCUGCUCCUUCAUGCUCCUCCCUUUAGCUGUUCAGGAUUGGGUGCCACCAGCUAGGCCCAGCUCUGGUCCCAGGAAUGCACUUCCACCAGCACCUGUGGCACCAGCUCAUCCCGCCACACCAGGGCGUUGGCAGGAAGGUGGGGGUGACAUGGAAGACACACGUCCUCCCGGGUUCUGCAGCACCGAGAGGAGCCGCUGAGCCCAGACGGCAACCCCCAGCCCAGAGGCCGUGCAAGGCUGGGGUCAAGAUCAUUUGAGCCUCAGUUUCCUCAUCUGUAACAUGGGGAGGUAAUUCUUACAGUGCUGAACCUUGGGAGAAGCGGAUUAAAGAACAGACAUGACGAUGCUGGACAAGCACAGUGACGAGCCCUGGGGCGUAGCAGGUGCUCAUGUAACCUGCAUUGCUGAUGCUGUUGACCCAGCACUGGCCUGAGGUCAGGACACCUGCCUGCUUUGAGUCCCAGCUCUGCCCCGGCUGGCUGGGUGCCUCCCCAGAAUUUUUUCCAGAUUAUCAGAGGGCCGCAUGCCUUUGCCAGUUUGGAAACUAUUAAAGGUCUGAA